CCGGGUCGAAAUUGUGUGCAGCAGUGAGCACAAUGAGCACCUGGCGUGUUGCGUGAAGAUUGGCUGGGAAAUACUGUUGUAAGAGUCGCGCCACGUGGCAUACUAUGGUAGGCUUUGUCUGGAGGUUCACGCCGUUUAGGGUGCACACGAGUGCACUAGAUCAAUACUGAAGAGGGACGUUGAUAUGGUACUAGAGCGACCACAGGAAGGCUGUGCGCCAACACAGAUGCCAGACGCGGAUUGGCUGAGGGAGAGGGUUCAUGGCGCCUGUUGUGUUCUCGGAUGAACAAGACAGACUGGGAAAAGACGUAGUGCGCACAUGUCCACGCAAAAAUUCAUGCACCCUCCAGCGUGUCGUUGUCUGAUUGGGCAGGCGCUAAGGCAAGCUGUCUAGACAACCACGUGGUGCACUAUGACUGGGCAUCAAUGGAAUUUCACGAUACAACUGUGGAACGUGUUGCACCGGAUUGUUUUC
rnacentral:lncRNA from 1 species